rnacentral:rRNA from 1 species
CCUACGGGAGGCAGCAGUGAGGAAUAUUGGUCAAUGGACGAGAGUCUGAACCAGCCAAGUAGCGUGAAGGAUGACUGCCCUAUGGGUUGUAAACUUCUUUUAUAAAGGAAUAAAACGAGGCACGUGUGCCUUUUUGCAUGUACUUUAUGAAUAAGGAUCGGCUCACUCCGUGCCAGCAGCCGCGGUAAUACGGAGGAUCCGAGCGUUAUCCGGUUUUAUUGGGUUUAAAGGGAGCCUAGCGGGGUUGUUAAGUCAGUUGUGAAAGUUUGCGGCUCAACCGUAAAAUUGCAAUUGAUACUGGCAGUCUUGAGUACAGUGGAGGUAGGCGGAAUUCGAGGUGUAGCGGUGAAAUGCUUAGAUAUCACGAAGAACCCCAAUGGCGAAGGCAGCUUACUAAGCUGAGACUGACAUUGAUGCUCGAAAGUGUGGGUAUCAAACAGGAUUAGAUACCCCUGUAGUC